GAGGGUUAAUGGGCUGGUGUGAAGUGGUGUGGUGUGGUGAGGUGUGGUGUGGUGUGAAGGGAUGUGCUGUGGUGAGGUGUGGUGAGUUUUGGUGUGGUGUGGUGAGGUGAGGUGUGGUGUGGUGUGGUGUGGUGUGGUGAGGUGUGGUGUGGUGUGGUGAGGUGUGGUGUGGUGUGGUGUGUGGUGUGGUGGGAUGAGGUGUGGUGUGGUGUGAUGUGGUGAGGUGUGGUGAGGUGUGGUGUGGUGUGGUGUUGUGUGGUGUGGUGUGGUGUGGUGUGGUGAGGUGUGGUGUGGUGUGGUGUGGUGUGGUGUGGUGUGGUGUGGUGUGGUGUGAUGUGGUGUGGUGUGGUGUGGUGAGGUGUGGUGUGAUGUGGUGUGGUGUGGUGAGGUGGGAUGAGGUGUGGUGUGGUGAGUUGAGGUGUGGUGUGGUGUGGUCUGGUGUGGUGUGGUGUGGUCAGGUGAGGUGAGGUGAGGUGUGGUGUGGUCUGGUGUGGUGUGGUGUGGUCAGGUGAGGUGAGGUGUGGUGAGGUGUGGUGAGUUUGGGUGUGGUGUGGUGUGAAGUGGUGAGGUGUGGUGAGGUGUGGUGCGGUGUGGUGUGGUGUGGUGCGGUGUGGUGUGGUGUGGUGUGGUGCGGUGUGGUG
ensembl:lncRNA